GCAGCUCAACUGUAGAACUGCCCUUGAUACUGGUUGUCUUGAAUAGUCGUGAAGUGAUUAGAAUAAGUAGUGUAGCGGUGAAAUGCAUAGAUAUUACUUAGAAUACCGAUUGCGAAGGCAGAUCACUAACGACUCAUUGACGCUGAGGGACGAAAGCGUGGGGAGCGAACAGGAUUAGAUACCCUGGUAGUCCACGCCGUAAACGAUGGAUACUAGCUGUCCGACCUUCGGGUUGGGUGGCCAAGCGAAAGUGAUAAGUAUCCCACCUGGGGAGUACGUUCGCAAGAAUGAAACUCAAAGGAAUUGACGGGGGCCCGCACAAGCGGUGGAGCAUGUGGUUUAAUUCGAUGAUACGCGAGGAACCUUACCAGGGCUUAAAUGCAUAAUGACAGGAGUGGAAACACUUUUUUCUUCGGACAUUUUGCAAGGUGCUGCAUGGUUGUCGUCAGCUCGUGCCGUGAGGUGUCAGGUUAAGUCCUAUAACGAGCGCAACCCCUGCCGUUAGUUGCCAGCAUGUAAAGAUGGGAACUCUAACGGGACUGCCGGUGCAAACCGCGAGGAAGGUGGGGAUGACGUCAAAUCAUCACGGCCCUUACGUCCUGGGCCACACACGUGCUACAAUGGCCGGUACAGAGGGCAGCCACACUGUAAAGUGGAGCGAAUCCUUAAAACCGGUCUCAGUUCGGAUCGGGGUCUGCAACUCGACCCCGUGAAGCUGGAAUCGCUAGUAAUCGGAUAUCAGCCAUGAUCCGGUGAAUACGUUCCCGGGCCUUGUACACACCGCCCGUCAAGCCAUGGAAGCUGGGAGUACCUGAAGUCGGUGACCGCAAGGAGCUGCCUAGGGUAAAACUAG
rnacentral:rRNA from 1 species